CGAAGACCAACAAGCCGAUCGCCUGAAGAAGAACUGCCGCGACGGUGCAUAGAGUGAGUCUUGUGCACGUCCACGAAGACAUUGUCGCCGGUGUCCGCCGGAGAUCACAGGCGCAUGAAGCAGCGACGGCGAGUCACGGUCCUUCGAGUAGCCGAAACUAGCAUCAUAGCGUUCGGGAGCUUGGGUAUCGGAUAGCUACGUAGAG